rnacentral:piRNA from 1 species
UGUAAACUCAGUUAUACAAUUUUUGUAGGU